rnacentral:ncRNA from 2 species
UUCUUAUCCAGAGAGGUGGAGGGACUGGCCCUUUGAAACCUCGGCAACGGAUUCUGUCCAACAGAACACCGUGCUAAUUCCUUCAAGCUAAACGUGGCUUGGAAGAUGAGGA